ACAAAUGCCCUGCUUCCAGGAAAAGCCUCUAAGCAUCAGGUAACAUUAAAUCGUACCCCAAACCGACACAGGUGGUCAGGUAGAGAAUACCAAGGCGCUUGAGAGAACUCGGGUGAAGGAACUAGGCAAAAUGGUGCCGUAACUUCGGGAGAAGGCACGCUGAUAUGUAGGUGAAGCGACUUGCUCGUGGAGCUGAAAUCAGUCGAAGAUACCAGCUGGCUGCAACUGUUUAUUAAAAACACAGCACUGUGCAAACACGAAAGUGGACGUAUACGGUGUGACGCCUGCCCGGUGCCGGAAGGUUAAUUGAUGGGGUUAGCGGCAACGCGAAGCUCUUGAUCGAAGCCCCGGUAAACGGCGGCCGUAACUAUAACGGUCCUAAGGUAGCGAAAUUCCUUGUCGGGUAAGUUCCGACCUGCACGAAUGGCGUAAUGAUGGCCAGGCUGUCUCCACCCGAGACUCAGUGAAAUUGAACUCGCUGUGAAGAUGCAGUGUACCCGCGGCAAGACGGAAAGACCCCGUGAACCUUUACUAUAGCUUGACACUGAACAUUGAGCCUUGAUGUGUAGGAUAGGUGGGAGGCUUUGAAGUGUGGACGCCAGUCUGCAUGGAGCCGACCUUGAAAUACCACCCUUUAAUGUUUGAUGUUCUAACGUGGGCCCGUAAUCCGGGUUGCGGACAGUGUCUGGUGGGUAGUUUGACUGGGGCGGUCUCCUCCUAAAGAGUAACGGAGGAGCACGAAGGUUGGCUAAUCCUGGUCGGACAUCAGGAGGUUAGUGCAAUGGCAUAAGCCAGCUUGACUGCGAGCGUGACGGCGCGAGCAGGUGCGAAAGCAGGUCAUAGUGAUCCGGUGGUUCUGAAUGGAAGGGCCAUCGCUCAACGGAUAAAAGGUACUCCGGGGAUAACAGGCUGAUACCGCCCAAGAGUUCAUAUCGACGGCGGUGUUUGGCACCUCGAUGUCGGCUCAUCACAUCCUGGGGCUGAAGUAGGUCCCAAGGGUAUGGCUGUUCGCCAUUUAAAGUGGUACGCGAGCUGGGUUUAGAACGUCGUGAGACAGUUCGGUCCCUAUCUGCCGUGGGCGCUGGAGAACUGAGGGGGGCUGCUCCUAGUACGAGAGGACCGGAGUGGACGCAUCACUGGUGUUCGGGUUGUCAUGCCAAUGGCACUGCCCGGUAGCUAAAUGCGGAAGAGAUAAGUGCUGAAAGCAUCUAAGCACGAAACUUGCCCCGAGAUGAGUUCUCCCUGACCCUUUAAGGGUCCUGAAGGAACGUUGAAGACGACGACGUUGAUAGGCCGGGUGUGUAAGCGCAGCGAUGCGUUGAGCUAACCGGUACUAAUGAACCGUGAGGCUUAACCUUACAACGCCGAAG
rnacentral:rRNA from 1 species